UGGGGUGACAAUUGUUAGUAAAAUUACAUAGAUUCCAGGUGUACAAUUCUGAAUAAGAAAAAUUUUUAAAUUUAAUUCUUUUAGUCCUCAAAUCACAGCUGUUUUCAUUUUUCAUCUACCGGUUUGCUUUUUGCGCAUUCGCUUUCUCAUCGUAAUCACAACAUCCUGUGUUUGUGCUUACGCGAUGGGUUUCUUCCCAGUUUACGUAAACAAAGAUAAUAAGUAUUAUGUCGUGCCCUCUCUCACCGGAAGGCAGCCGGAGGACACGAGGGAGAGCCGGCCGCAAGAAAGACCUUGGUUUAGCAAGGAACAGCAGUCGGGGAUUGGGCGAGGCAGGGGCAGACAGCCACCUCGAGACCCCAAUUACCCGGGCCCCGCCCCGCGUCCCAGGCCCCGCCCCGCGUCCCAGGCCCCGCCCCGCGUCCCAGGCCCCGCACCACCUCCCAGGCCCCGCACCACCUCCAGGGCCCGCCCCUGCCCGUCGCCAUAUUGUUGCCUCAGCGCUAGGCGGGAGCAGCCGGAGUUGCAUUCGGGCUGCGCUGCUACCUUGUCCAUCCCGCAGAAACCCCGACCCUCUCUGUUUCCUCAUUGCACCUGGACCGGCUAGCCCGGAGCUCCCGGACGUCCGCCGUGUGGCCGCGAGAAACUUCCUGCACGCCUAUAAUGAGCCUGGCACAGUGGUGAACUGCUUCAAGGGCACUGGAGAUAAUGAUGAUGCUUGAACUGAACAAUUAAGGGUUCUGAAGU
rnacentral:lncRNA from 1 species